GAUGAACGCUGGCGGCGUGCCUAAUACAUGCAAGUCGAGCGAACAGACGAGGAGCUUGCUCCUCUGACGUUAGCGGCGGACGGGUGAGUAACACGUGGAUAACCUACCUAUAAGACUGGGAUAACUUCGGGAAACCGGAGCUAAUACCGGAUAAUAUAUUGAACCGCAUGGUUCAAUAGUGAAAGACGGUUUUGCUGUCACUUAUAGAUGGAUCCGCGCCGCAUUAGCUAGUUGGUAAGGUAACGGCUUACCAAGGCAACGAUGCGUAGCCGACCUGAGAGGGUGAUAGGCCACACUGGAACUGAGACACGGUCCAGACGCCUACGGGAGGCAGCAGUAGGGAAUCUUCCGCAAUGGGCGAAAGCUUGACGGAGCAACGCCGCGUGAGUGAUGAAGGUCUUCGGAUCGUAAAACUCUGUUAUUAGGGAAGAACAAAUGUGUAAGUAACUAUGCACGUCUUGACGGUACCUAAUCAGAAAGCCACGGCUAACUACGUG
rnacentral:rRNA from 1 species